rnacentral:tRNA from 1 species
GCUCGGGUAGUUUAGGAAAGAACAUAACGUUGAAGGUGUUAAGGCAAACUAUUGUUUCUUGGGCG